CACGUAGUUAGCCGGGGCUUCUUGGUCAGGUACUGUCAUUUUCUUCCCUGCUGAUAGAGCUUUACAUACCGAAAUACUUCUUCACUCACGCGGCGUCGCUGCAUCAGGGUUUCCCCCAUUGUGCAAUAUCCCCCACCUGCUGCCUCCCGUAGGAGUUUGGGCCGUGUCUCAGUCCCAAUGUGGCCGUCCGCCCUCUCAGGCCGGCUACUGAUCGUCGCUUUGGUAGGCCGUUACCCUGCCAACUGGCUAAUCAGACGCGGGUCCAUCAUAUACCACCGGAGUUUUUCACACCGGGGCAUGCGCCCCUGUGCGCUUAUGCGGUAUUAGCACCUAUUUCUAAGUGUUAUCCCCCUGUAUAUGGCAGGUUACCCACGCGUUACUCACCCGUCCGCCACUAGGGCGUGAAAAGUUUGAAGUCUAGUAAACUAUCCCUCUCGCACAUCACGCCCCCGUUCGACUUGCAUGUGUUAAGCACGCCGCCAGCGUUCAUCCUGAGCCAGGAUCAAACU
rnacentral:rRNA from 1 species